rnacentral:rRNA from 1 species
AUUGAACGCUGGCGGCAUGCCUUACACAUGCAAGUCGAACGGCAGCACGGGUGCUUGCACCUGGUGGCGAGUGGCGAACGGGUGAGUAAUACAUCGGAACGUACCUUAUCGUGGGGGAUAACGCAGCGAAAGCUGUGCUAAUACCGCAUACGCCCUGAGGGGGAAAGCGGGGGAUCGCAAGACCUCGCGCGAUUAGAGCGGCCGAUGCCUGAUUAGCUAGUUGGUGGGGUAAAAGCCCACCAAGGCGACGAUCAGUAGCUGGUCUGAGAGGACGAUCAGCCACACUGGGACUGAGACACGGCCCAGACUCCUACGGGAGGAAGCGGUGGGGAAUUUUGGACAAUGGGGGCAACCCUGAUCCAGCAAUGCCGCGUGAGUGAAGAAGGCCUUCGGGUUGUAAAGCUCUUUUGUCAGGGAAGAAACACCGGCUCUAACACAGUCCGGGAAUGACGGUACCUGAAGAAUAAGCACCGGCUAACUACGUGCCAGCAGCCGCGGUAA